AGUCGAGGGGCAGCAUUUUAGUUUGCUUGCAAACUAAAGAUGGCGACCGGCGCACGGGUGAGUAACACGUAUCCAACCUGCCGAUAACUCGGGGAUAGCCUUUCGAAAGAAAGAUUAAUAUCCGAUAGUAUAUUAAAACCGCAUGGUUUUACUAUUAAAGAAUUUCGGUUAUCGAUGGGGAUGCGUUCCAUUAGUUUGUUGGCGGGGUAACGGCCCACCAAGACUACGAUGGAUAGGGGUUCUGAGAGGAAGGUCCCCCACAUUGGAACUGAGACACGGUCCAAACUCCUACGGGAGGCAGCAGUGAGGAAUAUUGGUCAAUGGACGAGAGUCUGAACCAGCCAAGUAGCGUGAAGGAUGACUGCCCUAUGGGUUGUAAACUUCUUUUAUAUGGGAAUAAAGUAUUCCACGUGUGGGAUUUUGUAUGUACCAUAUGAAUAAGGAUCGGCUAACUCCGUGCCAGCAGCCGCGGUAAUACGGAGGAUCCGGGCGUUAUCCGGAUUUAUUGGGUUUAAAGGGAGCGUAGGUGGAUUGUUAAGUCAGUUGUGAAAGUUUGCGGCUCAACCGUAAAAUUGCAGUUGAAACUGGCAGUCUUGAGUACAGUAGAGGUGGGCGGAAUUCGUGGUGUAGCGGUGAAAUGCUUAGAUAUUACGAAGAACUCCGAUUGCGAAGGCAGCUCACUAGACUGCAACUGACACUGAUGCUCGAAAGUGUGGG
rnacentral:rRNA from 1 species